GAUGAACGCUGGCGGCGUGCUUAACACAUGCAAGUCGAACGGAAAGGCGCCUGCUUUCAUUGGUACUCGAGUGGCGAACGGGUGAGUAACACGUGUGGGAUCUGCCCUGCACUUCGGGAUAAGCCUGGGAAACUCGGUCGAAUACCGGAUAUGACAAUUUGUUCGAUGCCAUUGUGGAAAGAUUGUGCGGCUUGGGCUGAGCUCUCGGCCUAUCCGCUUGUUAGUGGGGUAAUGGUCUACUAAGGCGUAGACGGGUAGCCGGCAUGAGAGGGUGUACGGCGACAAUGGGACUGCGAUACGGACCAGAAUCCUACGGGAGGCAGCAGUGGGGAAUCUUGCAGAAUGGGCGCAAGCGUGAUGCGGAGACGCCGGGUGCGGGAUAACGGCCUUCGGGUUGUGAACUCCUUUCGCUAGGGACGAAGAGAAAGUGACGGUACCUAGAGAAGAAGCACCGGCUAACUACGUG
rnacentral:rRNA from 1 species